rnacentral:rRNA from 1 species
UUGGAUCCAGACUUUGAUUAUGGCUCAGGAUGAACGCUAGCUACAGGCUUAACACAUGCAAGUCGAGGGGCAGCGGGAUUGAAGCUUGCUUCAAUUGCCGGCGACCGGCGCACGGGUGAGUAACGCGUAUCCAACCUUCCGUACACUCAGGGAUAGCCUUUCGAAAGAAAGAUUAAUACCUGAUGGUAUGAUGAGAUUGCAUGAUAGCAUCAUUAAAGAUUUAUCGGUGUACGAUGGGGAUGCGUUCCAUUAGGUAGUAGGCGGGGUAACGGCCCACCUAGCCAACGAUGGAUAGGGGUUCUGAGAGGAAGGUCCCCCACAUUGGAACUGAGACACGGUCCAAACUCCUACGGGAGGCAGCAGUGAGGAAUAUUGGUCAAUGGACGAGAGUCUGGACCAGCCAAGUAGCGUGAAGGAUGAAGGUCCUACGGAUUGUAAACUUCUUUUAUAAGGGAAUAAACCCUCCCACGUGUGGGAGCUUGUAUGUACCUUAUGAAUAAGCAUCGGCUAACUCCGUGCCAGCAGCCGCGGUAAUACGGAGGAUGCGAGCGUUAUCCGGAUUUAUUGGGUUUAAAGGGAGCGCAGACGGGUCGUUAAGUCAGCUGUGAAAGUUUGGGGCUCAACCUUAAAAUUGCAGUUGAUACUGGCGUCCUUGAGUGCGGUUGAGGUGUGCGGAAUUCGUGGUGUAGCGGUGAAAUGCUUAGAUAUCACGAAGAACUCCGAUUGCGAAGGCAGCACACUAAUCCGUAACUGACGUUCAUGCUCGAAAGUGUGGGUAUCAAACAGGAUUAGAUACCCUGGUAGUCCACACGGUAAACGAUGGAUACUCGCUGUUGGCGAUAUACUGUCAGCGGCUUAGCGAAAGCGUUAAGUAUCCCACCUGGGGAGUACGCCGGCAACGGUGCAACUCAAAGGAAUUGACGGA